rnacentral:rRNA from 1 species
GUGGGGAAUCUUGGACAAUGGGCGCAAGCCUGAUCCAGCCAUGCCGCGUGAGUGAAGAAGGCCUUAGGGUUGUAAAACUCUUUCGCCGGUGAAGAUAAUGACGGUAACCGGAGAAGAAGCCCCGGCUAACUUCGUGCCAGCAGCCGCGGUAAUACGAAGGGGGCUAGCGUUGUUCGGAAUUACUGGGCGUAAAGCGCACGUAGGCGGGUUUGUAAGUAGGGGGUGAAAUCCCAGGGCUCAACCCUGGAACUGCCUUCUAGACUGCAAGCCUGGAGGUCAGGAGAGGCGAGUGGAAUACCGAGUGUAGAGGUGAAAUUCGUAGAUAUUCGGUGGAACACCAGUGGCGAAGGCGACUCGCUGGACUGAUACUGACGCUGAGGUGCGAAAGCGUGGGGAGCAAACAGGAUUAGAAACCCUUGUAGUCC